AGAGCCGCUGGCGACGGCUACCUCCCUCUUAGAAAAUAUCAUCCUAACGGGAAAAUAAUUCAGAACAACCUCUCAACAAAACAUUUCACACCUAAAAGAUAAUCCCGUUUACUGCUGGAACUUUCAAGAGAACUCAGAACUUUAAAAGAUGAAUUUUAACAGAUUUCGUCAUUCACGAAUUAGAAAGAGCUGCGAAAACAUCUUCACCCGAAGCUGCCGAGGAUUUUCGUUGCAACAUUUGCAGGAACGUGUUGUUGUUCUUACUUGCGGAAGAGUUCAAUGUGAACGACGGCGGGAGCGAUUUUCUCCACCACGUCGGCGAUGAAGUUGUAUUUGUGCCUCAGACUGUCGAGGUUCAGCUGAGCUGAAAGGAAGAGAAACACGGUAUCAGUGCGUGGCAUCGCGGCCAAUUAGAGGAUCUCUGUGUGGAGACGAGAGGCGAUAACGAUCCUUUUGGGUUGCCAGGUUGGACGUGUAAACAGCGAACAGAUAUAUCUGAAGUGCACGUGGACGUGAACCUCGGAGAGCUUUUCCUUCUGAUUCUUAUAAAACAAAGGAAGAAAUUCAGAGCAUCAAAAGAUAUGGAGAGGUUGCAGACAAAGAAGAAGAACUGCUGCUGUUGUGUCACGCAUCGUUGUUCCUGUUUGAAGUAGACCGGGGAUCACUUUGGAAAAGAACGAGUUCCUGAACGAGUCACCGCGCAAACGUUUGUUUCUCGAAUCCAAACAGCCGACUGGUCUGCACGCGGAGAUGAGGCGGGAGGGAGAGUUGCACAACCCGGUGAAGAGGUGAAUCACCGGCGUCUCACCGACACCGUCCAGAUUUCCGUCCCGAACCGUAAAUCAGAAACAACUGCUUCAGAUUAGGAGCCGAGUCAAGGAAUGACGAAUACAUGUGGCUUUUGGAUGAACAGAUUACUGACUGCCAGAGCAGGAUGGGGGAGGAGAGGAUGCACCACGAUGCUUCGGAUUCUCAGGCGGAGAGGGAGUAAGUGGAGCCCGACUUUGACCUUGUUUGACUCUAAGAAUCUCUCUGCCUCAGCAGGUUUGGUGUGUUCACAGCUGCUGCGUCUCUGGGACCCGUGGCUCCUUCAUGACUCGGAGCUCUGUGCGCGUUCAGCCGCACAGGGGCAGUCACUCGGAGCGUCCUGGGUGUAUUCCAACACAUUAUGACCCUGUUAAGAUAACAUUGGGGGGUGUUUGAGAGGGAGUGAGCGAGGAGCUGGAAAACAGCCCCUUUUUAGAGUUUGCUGUAGUUUUACGGCGCCGCUCAGGAGAUGGAGGUCUGGCCAAAGAGGAGGAAAGCGUAACAAAUAAGGCAUAUUUGCCGUAACGCCGGUGAGACGCAGAACCACCUCACUAAAACUCAGCAGCAGAGAGGAGAAACUGCCUCGAAGGUUAUUCAUGAAAUAGCACGUGAAUAAAGCAGAAAUCUCAAACGUGUUAUGUUGCAGGAGCAUUCAUUAGCCGUGUUUCCGCUGAGCAUAUAAUGGCGCAAAUUGGGGUCGACGAAAAACAAACUUGGUUAAUGGAAACAGGCCAGCUUCAAAGAAACUCAGGGUUUUCCAAAGAAAGUCGCUGCGGCAGGAUGAGCGGGAAGUCACAUGAGUCACUUGAGCAACAACAGAUUGUUACUACUGGCAGAAAAGACAAAGAAAACAACAGGAAGUGGCAGGAGGAGUGUGUUUUUUUUUCAUGAUUUUAAUCGUAACGCCAUGACAUUAGCAGAAGAUUUAGAACGUUUUGCGCACAUUUGUAACGUCCUACUUUUUAAAAAAUCACAACAGUAGCUGGGAUUGAUUGUGACCGACUAACACAAAGUAGUGGGUAUAAAAAAAAGGAGAAAAAGAAAAUCUCCACAUCACUUUAAUUGUUUUAAAACAGAUGAAUUUGUUACGUUUUCCUUUGCCGCAAUUAAAAGCUAUAAAUCCUGCAACUGAGGUCUGACGCAUAAAAACAUUUUAUUGUCUUCCACUGACUGCCCUGCAGCUCUGGAUGCGUGUUCGGGGCUGUCAUCCUGCUGCUGUUGUUGUUGUUGUUGCGCAGCUUUCCUGCUCAAGAAAAGCAUCCCCACAGCAUGAUGCUGCCACCGCCAGAGGGUUAAUGAAUGCGACGUUUCAUUUGGGCCAGAUGUGAGCAGAGCACGUCCCUCCUCCCGUGGCACAAUGUGCACAUCAAGCGCAAAAUGUGGUCAAUUGUGGACACAGCAAAAAUUGACCACAAAGUUGCAAAAAGCUGCAAGUGCGCGUUCAGCCGUGACUGCGUUCCUUUCUUCUUGUCUUCUUCGUAUAAAAGGCCAGAUUUGUGGAGCGCACAAUCUACGGCUGUUCUGCCAGUGGAUUGUUUUAGCUGAGCCGUGUGUCUGCUGAAAUGCACGAGUCGUGAGUCACACAUUUCUGCAGCCUCCAGCUGGUUCACACUCCCAAGGUUGGGAUUUGGUUUCAUAACUGCGCCCCGCUUCAAACGUCUCCACAAUUUUUUUAUUUUUUUUUUGCUCUGUUUUUAUUCCCCCCUCCUGGUCAUUCACUGGAGAGUUUUCUAACAAAAGUCGGAAAACGGAACAUUUGCAUGAGGGUUAGCUUACACUCAGAUGGACUGUUUAUAAAUUGGGUGGCUUCCGAAGGCAGUCUGGCUGCUUUUUCUUUUUUUUUCUUUUUUUUAUCUCGAGCGUCAGAGUAAAGGGGGAUUAAAACGAAAGCAUGCGAAAGAAUUAACUUCACUGCCUCCACUUUCUGUCAACAAGUAGCUUUUCUGUCGAGUGGUCCACGUUUGUCCUUUCUACCUCCAGAUGGCACAAUAAAAUAUGUGCUCCAAUCGAUCAGUUUAUGUAAUCAAGGUCUCGAUACGGACACAUUUCCUCUAUUAUGUAAAUGAUUACAUGGAUAUGACCUUCUUGCUUAAGCAAGAAUGAAAGCAUGAGGACAUAGGAGUGAAUGAUGUUCAGGGAGGUGAGUGAAUUCUGGACUAGUUGGGAGAAGAACAGAAUAUCAAUGUUCUGCAGCAAGCUGUGCCAGAAAGGGAAAAAAUAAAUAAAUUAAAUAAAUAAAUAAAGUCAGAAAUUAUUUUUUUUUAAAUAAGGGGGAAUUGAGAAGGGAGGUUGAAAUGUUGGCAGUGAAAAUGUCCUGUUGAAGACCAAAAAGACCCCCCAAAAAUUAACGAACUGGCCAAACAUUUAGCUUUCACUUGUUAAUAUGAUUUUAAAUGUGAAAACUUGGGUUUCCGUGCCACUUGGUUGUUUUCUUUAAUAGAAUAGAGGGUGAAAACACAAGUGUGCUCAUUGAAACUUAGAAAAAAAAAAAAAUAAUAAUAAUAAUAAUAAUUAAAUUGUAACAUAGCAUCCUUCUGUACCCCUGAAGCUGCAAUGACCUGGAGUUUAAUUUAAAUCAGACUAAUGAGUUAGGACACUAAAUUUAUGAAAACAGACUUCAGCAGCGAACAUCAGCACACUUUCACUCAGCGGUUCUCUUCCCUUUCAGCUUACUUUCAUCUUGGUUGAUCCUUUUCUCUCCCUUUUCUUUUUGCUUUCUCCAUUUAGCACAAUCUGACAGAAUGUGGCUGGCAUGACAAGUCCGCCACCCAGUUCAGAUUGUUGAUUGGGCUAAAGUCCUAGUGUACUCUAUAUUAUUUGUCCAGUAAUUGACAAAAACCCUUCUGGUCCCCAAGAGAAAAAGCAAAAACAAAACAAAACUGGGGUUUAAAAUAAUCUAAUAUCACUUACUCUACUUUUAGGUCUUCAAGGAAACAGUGAAUUAAAUUUGUUUCAAAGAAAAAAAAGGUGAUUAUUCACUGAACAUAGUUCAUUUGUGCCCACAGGUUCAUGCAGACGUAAUAAUAAAAUAUGUUUUAAAUGAGGAUUGUUUAUCUCGCCCGGAACGCAGCUGGAAUGGAUGAGGAUUGUUUAUGUUAUUUAUCAUUACGUAUUCACAUAAGCUUUAAUAUGUGUAUACGUGUGUACAACUUGUGUAAAUAUCACGUGUUCUCUUUGAGCCCUUCACAGUUGCAAAGUUUGCUCAAACUUCUGGCCGACCCUAAUUGUCAUCUAGAUCCCUUUAGAUAAAAUUUGAUCGCGCACGCAC